GGCGUCUUGGCUGAGUGGUUAUAGCGACAGACUAGAAUGGCUUAGGCCUGUCAAGAACUCCUUGAUAUGUCUAUUCUAGAUCCAUCUGUUUCCUUCGGGAGCGUAGGUUCAAAUCCUGCAGACGUAA